AAUAUCCAAUAAUGCAUAUAGAUUCACCAUGUACAUAACAAUUUACACUAAGCAAAAAGAAAGCAUAUUGAAGAUGAAAACAAGCUGCAACACAGGAGCUGUAACGUACAACUACAAGCCAAAACGGAAAAGCCACGCUGCUGCAAUACAAAACACGGUUGAAACAGAAGAAGAAAACCAAACGGUAACGGCACAAAAUCAUGAAAACGACCAAAGUAAAAGGCAUUGCAAUCUAAAGCCGAUGCAAGCAUGAAAUGGCGAUGCCAGCUGCGGAAAAUGCAACAUCGAAAUGCAGUAAAAACGUAACAUGAACAGGAAGUAUCCAAAUGAAAAGCAGGAAAAACAAAAGGCCAAUAUAACUCACCGAAAAAACCGAACUGAAUCCAAGCUGAAUAACAAGCUCAACAUACUCAACCUUCAAAAACAGAAUUUUAUAACCUUCACUUCAAUAACCAAUUCUCAAAAGCUUAUUCUAACUGCCAUGAUACUUAUCAACUUAGAUUCUGAACAACAAUUCUAACCACUCUUCCAACAGAACUUUAACUGAACAAAAGUCUCUUCUUCAACCAACUUCUAACCGACUCUUAAACCAAUCCCUAACAGAAUGCUAACCAACCUCUAGAACCAUCUUCAACUUUCUUCGAUAGAACCUCUUAACAAUCAGCAUCACAGACCCCACUCUCCCAAAUUGAGUUCUGAAUCGCCCUCAAC
rnacentral:lncRNA from 1 species